rnacentral:tRNA from 1 species
GGGCGGUUAGCUCAGUGGUAGAGUACCGGUCUUACACACCGGCUGUCACAGGUUCGAGUCCUGUACCGCCCACCA